CAGCACCUCAAGUGGUCAGGAUGAUUAUUGGGCCUAAAGCAUCCGUAGCCUGCUUUGUAAGUUUUCGGUUAAAUCCAUACGCUCAACGUAUGGGCUGCCGGGAAUACUGCAAAGCUAGGGAGUGGGAGAGGUAGACGGUACUCGGUAGGAAGGGGUAAAAUCCUUUGAUCUAUUGAUGACCACCUGUGGCGAAGGCGGUCUACCAGAACACGUCCGACGGUGAGGGAUGAAAGCUGGGGGAGCAAACCGGAUUAGAGACCCGAGUAGUCC
rnacentral:rRNA from 1 species